UGUGUCACUCUUGGGGAGCUCUCUGGUGAUGAAGAGGGAGCUCAGGACCAGCUGAUAACCCCGCUGUGUAGAGAGCUAACUGACCCAUCCUCCCAUGGACACAGCGCUCUGCAGUUAGCACUGAUGCCCAGACCCCGACUGCGGAAGGAGGCUCCUGAUUGCCAGACUGAAGUCCCUCUCAAGCCACCAAACAGGAGGAAGGGGAAUGAAUAAUCUUUUCUCAAAGAUUAAGAAAGGACUGCAGAGGCUAAAAACCUACGACAAAUGCACUGUUUUCAAAUAUGGAAGAGCUGACUGCACAAAUCAACCAGGAAAUCACAGACUUUCAGGCCAGACAGCGGUGCUGCGUGGGCCACAGGGACACUGGGAAGAAACCAAGCCUGUACCCCGACACUACCUCUGACCAGAGGUUCGACCUUGGCCCAUGCCUCGGAGCAGCCGGGUCCUCCUCAGAAGAAAUCCCCUCCCCUGGAUCCGCUCAGCUGGUGCUGAGGCCAGAACAUCGCAUGGCUGACUAAUGAGACGGAGGUGAAGGUGUCAUACCUUGCUGGGAAGUCACAGUGCUAGUCCCGACCUGCACCGCCUGCCAUCAGAUUUUAAUGCUGCUGCUGACAUAUUUAUGGAAUGCCUCACCAAGUGUUUGCCGGGAGACCAGACAAGAUUUACCUCCACAAUUACUUCCACAUCGUGCAGGCUUCGCUGUGCGCUGAGAACUUGGCUGUGCUAGGCCUGAGCCCCACUGCGCCCUGAGGAACAGGCUCCAUUCCGCACACCUUUCUUGCCCCCAGCAAGCAGGGCCCGGGACUGGGAAGAUGGAGAUGAAUCAGAUACGCUUCCUGCCCACGGAGAGCCCGAAGUCUGCAGGUGGGGGCCGCACACACAUAAAUUACCCACAUCCAGGGGGACUGGAGACCAGCGCUGAGAACAGGUUGAAGCAGGCUGGGAUGGAGUGGGGGAGAGGAGAGUUAUCUCCGCCAUCAAAGCCCCUCUGGGCUGUCCAGCCACCCAGCUGCUUCAGCUCUUCUGGUGACAUCUCUGCCCUGGCAGGGCUCCCAGGGCUUCCAUCCCUCCCCCGAUGGCCUCAGUGACUCUGCGCCUCUCUCCUUUUAGGUGCCUGUACCUUCAUUUAGACUCUUAGGGCUCCGUUCUCAAAGCUGACUGGAAGCAGGAUGCAGCCCCCAGAACCUCUCCGUUCUUCACGGAGUCAGUAAACUCCCUUCCCUGGAAGCUUUACUAGGCUCCCCCUGCAGAGCUGCCCUGGGCCAGGGGCAAAGUGGAGGGAUGUGGGCCAAGGGCUUCAACCACCUAAGAAGCUUUAAAACACCAGGUGCUGGGGCUAAGGAUGUGGCUCAGUGGUUGCCUAGCAUGUGUGAGGCUCUGGGUUCAAGGUGCAGUGCUGUAAACAAAACAACAAAUCCCUCUGGCUGAUACAUCUGUACUCCAUACUAGUUCGUCCGGACCUCCUGGGGCGAGGGCAGGUAGCACUUUUGUCCAGAUUCCCAAAGUGAUUCCAGUGAGCCGUGGGUUUGAGAAGCAGGGGCCAGAAACUGACCCUCAGAGUGGGUAAGCACCGACCUUGCCUGAAAGCUUGUUAGAAGUGAGCACUCCGGACCUAGACUCACUGAACCCCAAUCCACUUUCUGCGAGGAUCUGAGGCUUGUAAGCAGUGGGGUUGGAGGGGCACUGAAGUGCAGUAAAGAUUGCCCUGGUAUUCUCAGAAGCCUCUCAGUGGGGGCACUGGAAGGCUACCCUGGAAGCAGCCUGGCCACCACAGGCCUGGCUACCAGGAGGGGCUGGCUGGGGCAGGAAGACUCUGUAUGGCCAUGGAGGCAGGUGAUAUCAUUACCCAGACAGCUGACAAGGCACGGGUGCUUGGAGGGAGCUGAAUUAGAACCUUGCGACAGUCCUCACAACUCCCAAGGCUGGGCCACAGGCAGGAACCCCAGUGCAGUCCCCUCUGUACCACAAACUCACUGGAACAAGGCCCUCCCCCAGUCCAGGCCUCAGUUUCCCCAGGACCCUGAAAAGGCAUAGAUCUACCUUUUUCCAUUAUAUAUUACAAUGUAAUAAUAACAGAAAUAAAGUGCAUGAUGAAUGUAAGGCACCCAGGUCAUCUCCAAAUCACUAUCCCA